CACUACAGCCUGGGCGACAAGAGCAAACUCCGUCUCAAAAAAAAAAAAAAAAGAAAAGAAAAAUAAAGGGUUUGGAGAAGGUGAUUUCCUUUUUGGUUUUUUGUUUGUUUGUUUGUUUUUCUGAGACGGAGUCUCACUCUGUCGCCCAGGCAGGAGUACAAUGGCACGAUCUCGGCUCACUGCAACCUCUGCCUUCUGGGUUCAAGCAAGUCUCCUGCCUCAGCCUCCUGAGUAGCUAGGAUUACAGGCACACACCACCACACCUGACUAAUUUUUGUAUUUUUAGCAGAGAUGGGGUUUCACUAUGUUAGCCAGGCUGGUCUGGAACUCCUGACCUCAUGAUCCACCCUCCUUCGGCCUCCCAAAGUGCUGGGAUUACAGGCGUGAGCCACUGCAGCCGGCCUGUUGUUGUUCUUACGUGAACACAUGUGAAAGGUUUUAUUAACUCAUUUUUUAACAGGGGAAACAGCGAUGUUAAAACCAUUCAAAGGAGUCCAAGAACUGUGUGCGCAGGCAACGGGGAAACUGGAAAUGCGUUGACAAACUGACGCAAAACUGGGCCCAACAGCCACAAGGCACUGGUCGUUUUCCACUGGGCAAAGUUCAGUCGCAUUUCUUUCUGUUCUCUUUCUUUCUUU
rnacentral:lncRNA from 1 species